UCUUGGGCGUUAGCCAUCGGACUUUACACUGAGCGCACAACCUUAAACGUGGUCACGCAGAAAUGGUCCAGUUAGCUCAAGAGGUCUUAUUCUUAGGUGUGCUCGGGACUACAGCUGGACUGAAAGUUGUAAUGAAGGCAGCUCGGUUCCUGUGAUUUAAACGGUGCUGUGAUGUAGGGAGCAGGGACGAUGACGUUGUCUCCUGGGGCGCUAUUUGCCAAUCCUCUGCCACAUAAUUUUUUCCUCAGAGCAACCUACCCAAGCUAAGCAGAGGAAGAGCAGUGGGCAAGCUUCUUGGGUCCACCAGACUCUUCAUCAAGCUGGAAGUCAAGUGAAGCGAACGAGAAUGGGCGUUGGGCGAGAAAAGAGCUGGCUCGGUAUUGAAACCAUGACCGCACUGGUCAAAGUUCGUGUGUGUGUAGUCUUACAAAAGGCGUGGCUAUGGGAGCUGCCAUGAAGAGCACCUGUACGUCGGAAUUUGAGGAGCACCUUUUCUCAUGUGUGCACACAAGUUGCACUUGGCAAAACAAAAUCCAUAUCUGGGAGUAAAUUCCAUUGAACGGUUUCGGCGUUAGUAUGCACAGGAUCGGGCUGCCCAGCGUACACGUGCUCUGUUCUCCUCUGUAUCUGCUCACCCCAGAAAUAUGAAUAAAUAAGAGCGUUCU